CCCUUAGAUGUCCUGGGCCGCACGCGCGUUACACUGAUGCAUUCAACGAGCUUAUAACCUUGGCCGAGAGGCCUGGGCAAUCUUGUUAACGUGCAUCGUGAUAGGGAUAGAUUAUUGAAAUUAUUAAUCUUGAACGAGGAAUUCCUAGUAAACGCAGAUCAUCAAUCUGCAUUGAUUACGUCCCUGCCCUUUGUACACACCGCCCGUCGCACCUACCGAUGGGAUGGUCCGGUGAAGCCUCGGGAUUGUGGUUCUUGCCGCUUUAUUGUGGCGUGACCGCGAGAACUUGUCUAAACCUUAUCAUCUAGAGGAAGGUGAAGUCGUAACA
rnacentral:rRNA from 1 species